rnacentral:rRNA from 1 species
UACGGAGGGUGCAAGCGUUAUCCGGAUUCACUGGGUUUAAAGGGAGCGUAGGUGGGCAGGUAAGUCAGUGGUGAAAUCUCUGGGCUUAACCCGGAAACUGCCAUUGAUACUAUUUGUCUUGAAUAUUCUGGAGGUAAGCGGAAUAUGUCAUGUAGCGGUGAAAUGCUUAGAUAUGAUGUAGAACACCGAUUGCGAAGGCAGCUCACUAAGCAGACAUUGACGCUGAGGCACGAAAGCGUGGGGAUCAAACAGG